rnacentral:tRNA from 1 species
GGUUCCGUAGUGUAGUGGUUAUCACGUUCGCUUUACACGCGAAAGGUCCUCGGUUCGAUCCCGGGCGGAACCA